UACGGGGGGGGGUAAGCGUUGUUCGGAAUUACUGGGCGUAAAGGGCUCGUAGGCGGCCAACUAAGUCAGACGUGAAAUCCCCUCAGCUUAACUGGGGAACUGCGUCUGAUACUGGAUGGCUUGGAUUCGGGAGAGGAAUGCGGAAUUCCAGGUGUAGCGGUGAAAUGCGUAGAUAUUCGCAAGAACACCAGUGGCGAAGGCGGCUCACUGGCUCGAUACUGACGCUGAGGUGCGAAAGCGUGGGGAGCAACAGG
rnacentral:rRNA from 1 species